rnacentral:pre_miRNA from 1 species
UAGUUUUGUCCUAAGUCAAAAGUUUAUAACUUGACCAAGUUUAUAGAAAAAUAUAUUAACAUCUACAAUGCCAAAUAAAAGCAUUAUCAAGACAUAUUUCAUGGUGGAGUUAAUGAAACUAAUUUGAUGUAUGCAGAUGUUGGUGCAUUAUUCUACAAAUUUGGCCAAAGUUAGAGAAGUUUGACUUAGGACAAAAACUA